rnacentral:lncRNA from 1 species
UCAGAAUAAUACAACUUAUAAAAUGAAUGGAUUUUUCCCUUUAAAGGUAACAAAAGAUGCAUCUAAACAAAGGUAGAUCUAGAAUGUGAACUUUAUGGGUUCGACUUCAAUACUUAGUGAAGUUACGAGCCAAAGUGACUAGGUUCGGAUGAACCCAUUUCUUACCGUCUACAUCCAACUGAGUAAUUUUCUGAUAGGUUACGACUCAAAAAGAAUAUAUGGGGUAGCGCAAGAAAGAAGCUUACUUGAACAUUUUUGGCUCGGACGUAAGGGCUGUCUCCAAUGGGGACUUUGUGGGCAACGUGAAAGGAUUCAGAGCGAGUUCUUGAGACUCCAAGGGAUUUAGCCGGAGAAGAUGGAGCAGAUUUCGUGGGUCUGAAACCUGGGGGAGCAUUCCACAUAUCUUGCAACAUUUUCUACUAUUAGAUUAGUCUUGAAUUCGCACUUAGUAUGUUGCCAAGAAUAUGUGAAAUGUGAACAAAAUACUGGCAAGAAUAUGUGGAAUAUGUGGAAUGUGAACAGCAGUGGAGGGCGAGUUGAGAGGUAUAAAGAGGAGAAUAGAACAAAACUAGCUAUGUUGCCAAGAAUAUGUGCAAUGUGAAGAGAAAAUUGUCAAGAAUAUGUGGAAUGGGAACAGCAAUGGAGGGCGAAUUGAGAGGUACAGAGAGGAGAAUAGAACAAAAAUAGAAAAGCGGGGAGAGAGACGG